CCUACGGGGGGCAGCAGUGAGGAAUAUUGGUCAAUGGGCUUACGCCUGAACCAGCCAAGUCGCGUGAGGGAAGACUGCCCUAUGGGUUGUAAACCUCUUUUGUCAGGGAGCAACGCCGGCUACGUGUAGCCGGACUGAGAGUACCUGAAGAAAAAGCAUCGGCUAACUCCGUGCCAGCAGCCGCGGUAAUACGGAGGAUGCGAGCGUUAUCCGGAUUUAUUGGGUUGAAAGUGUGCGUAGUCGUAAUGCCAAGUCAGCGGUAAAAGCGCGGGGCACAACCUCGCUCCGCCGUUGAAAAUGGCGGUCUUGAGUGGGCGAGAAGUAUGCGGAAUGCGGGGUGUAGCGGUGAAAGGCAUAGAUAGCACGCAGAAAUCGGAUUGCGAAGGAAGCAUACCGGCGACGAACGGACGCUGAAGCACGAAAGCGUGGGUAUCGAACAGGAUUAGAUACCCGGGUAGUC
rnacentral:rRNA from 1 species